rnacentral:rRNA from 1 species
UACGUAGGGUGCAAGCGUUAUCCGGAAUUAUUGGGCGUAAAGAGCUCGUAGGCGGUUCGUCACGUCGGGAGUGAAAACUCGGGGCUUAACCCCGAGCCUGCUUCCGAUACGGGCAGACUAGAGGUAGGCAGGGGAGAGCGGAACUCCUGGUGUAGCGGUGGAAUGCGCAGAUAUCAGGAAGAACACCGGUGGCGAAGGCGGCUCUCUGGGCCUUACCUGACGCUGAGGAGCGAAAGCGUGGGGAGCAAACAGG